rnacentral:rRNA from 1 species
UACACUCCUACGGGAGGCAGCAGUGGGGAAUAUUGGACAAUGGGCGCAAGCCUGAUCCAGCCAUGCCGCGUGAGUGAUGAAGGCCCUAGGGUUGUAAAGCUCUUUCACCGGAGAAGAUAAUGACGGUAUCCGGAGAAGAAGCCCCGGCUAACUUCGUGCCAGCAGCCGCGGUAAUACGAAGGGGGCUAGCGUUGUUCGGAAUUACUGGGCGUAAAGCGCACGUAGGCGGAUCGAUCAGUCAGGGGUGAAAUCCCAGGGCUCAACCCUGGAACUGCCUUUGAUACUGUCGAUCUGGAGUAUGGAAGAGGUGAGUGGAAUUCCGAGUGUAGAGGUGAAAUUCGUAGAUAUUCGGAGGAACACCAGUGGCGAAGGCGGCUCACUGGUCCAUUACUGACGCUGAGGUGCGAAAGCGUGGGGAGCAAACAGGAUUAGAAACCCUGGUAGUCCCAU